CGAUACUUGGUGUGAAUUGCAGAAUCCCGUGAACCAUCGAGUCUUUGAACGCAAGUUGCGCCCUAAGCCAUUAGGCUGAGGGCACGUCUGCCUGGGUGUCACACAACGUCGCUCCAAGACCCCUCGCCUCUUCGAAGGUCGAUGGGGUCGGGCGGAGAAUGG
rnacentral:rRNA from 1 species